GACGAACGCUGGCGGCGUGCUUAACACAUGCAAGUCGAACGAAGUGGCGAACGGGUGAGUAAUACGUGGGUAACAUGCCCUCCUUUUUGGGGUAAGCCUUGGAAACGGGGUCUAAUAACGAAUAACGGGUGUGGGGCUCGUGGCCUAUCAGCUUGGUGGUGGGGUGGUGGCCUACCGAGGCGGUGCCGGGUAGCUGGCCUGAGAGGGUGAACGGCAACAUUGGGACUGAGCUGCGGCCUAGAGUCGGCAGGGAGGGAGCAGUGGGGGAGAUUGCAGAAUGGGUGAAAGACUGAUGCAGCGUGUCGGAGUGGGGGAUGAAGGUUGUCGGGUUGUAAACGUCUUUCGCUAGGGAACGGGUAGGCGCAGAAGAAGCGCCGGCUAACUACGUGCCAGCAGCCGCGGUAAUUC
rnacentral:rRNA from 1 species